rnacentral:rRNA from 1 species
UACGUAGGGCGCAAGCGUUGUCCGGAAUUAUUGGGCGUAAAGAGCUCGUAGGCGGUUUGUCGCGUCUGCUGUGAAAACCUAAGGCUCAACCUUGGGCUUGCAGUGGGUACGGGCAGACUAGAGUGCGGUAGGGGUGACUGGAAUUCCUGGUGUAGCGGUGGAAUGCGCAGAUAUCAGGAGGAACACCGAUGGCGAAGGCGGGUCUCUGGGCCGAUAUUGACGCUGAGGAGCGAAAGCGUGGGGAGCAAACAGG